AAGGCAGCAGGCACGCAAAUUACCCACUCCCGGCACGGGGAGGUAGUGACAAAAAAUAACGAUACGGGACUCAUCCGAGGCCCCGUAAUCGGAAUGAGUACACUUUAAAUCCUUUAACAAGGAUCCAAUGGAGGGCAAGUCUGGUGCCAGCAGCCGCGGUAAUUCCAGCUCCAUUAGCGUAUAUUAAAGUUGUUGCGGUUAAAAAGCUCGUAGUUGGUUCUGCGUCCCAUGCUGUCGGUUCACCGCCUGACGGUGCAACUGACAUGUCGUGGGAUGUCCUGUCGGUGGCGGCCUUGACCCACUGCGUGUGGAGGGAUUCCGAAGCACGCUGCUGCGCGUCAGGCCGCCGAUUCAAUCCUGCCGCGGUGCUCUUGAUUGAGUGUCGAGGUAGGCCGACACGUUUACUUUGAACAAAUUAGAGUGCUCAAAGCAGGCUAAUAAUGCCUGGAUAUUGGUGCAUGGAAUAAUGGAAUAGGACCUCGGUUCUAUUUUGUUGGUUUUCGGAACCCGAGGUAAUGAUCAAUAUGGACAGGCGGGGGCAUUCGUAUUGCGGCGUUAGAGGUGAAAUUCUUGGAUCGUCGCAAGACGCACUAGAGCGAAAGCAUUUGCCAAGUAUGUCUUAGUUGAUCAAGAACGAAAGUUAGAGGUUCGAAGGCGAUCAGAUACCGCCCUAGUUCUAACCAUAAACGAUGCCAGCCAGCGAUCCGCCGAUGUUCCUCCGAUGACUCGG
rnacentral:rRNA from 1 species